rnacentral:rRNA from 1 species
CUACGGGAGGCUGCAGUGGGGAAUAUUGCACAAUGGACGAAAGUCUGAUGCAGCAACGCCGCGUGGAGGAUGACACAUUUCGGUGCGUAAACUCCUUUUAUAUAAGAAGAUAAUGACGGUAUUAUAUGAAUAAGCACCGGCUAACUCCGUGCCAGCAGCCGCGGUAAUACGGGGGGUGCAAGCGUUACUCGGAAUCACUGGGCGUAAAGCGCAUGUAGGCGGACUUGUAAGUUGGAAGUGAAAUCCUAUGGCUCAACCAUAGAACUGCUUCCAAAACUGCUUGUCUAGAAUAUGGGAGAGGUAGAUGGAAUUUCUGGUGUAGGGGUAAAAUCCGUAGAGAUCAGAAGGAAUACCGAUUGCGAAGGCGAUCUACUGGAACAUUAUUGACGCUCAGAUGCGAAAGCGUGGGGAGCAAACAGGAUUAGAUACCCCCGUAGUC